ensembl:snRNA U6 U6 spliceosomal RNA
GCGCUCACUUCGGCAGCACACAUACUAAAAUUGGAAUGAUACAGAGAAGAUUAGCACGGCCCCUGCUCAAGGAUGACGUGCAAAUUCAUAAAGCGUUCCAUAAAAAU